CUUGCAUGCAAAAUCAAAACUGUUACAAUGUCAAUAAAGAUGUCGCGGAUGGUCCUAGGACUCCCUCUAAUUUUCAUUUCUUUCUUGGUCUCUCGCUCCUACUCUUGCACGAUCACCAUAACAAACAACUGCCCCCAUACCAUAUGGCCUGGGACGCUAGCAGGUUCAGGUACACCACAGCUCUCAGCAACUGGAUUUCGCUUGGACCCUGGUCAGGGCGUACGGAUUCCAACAGUUCCAGGAUGGUCAGGCAGGAUUUGGGCGAGGACUGGUUGCACAUUCGACGAAUCUGGACUUGGCUCUUGUCAAACUGGGGACUGUGGAGGAAGGCUGGAAUGUGAUGGCAUUGGAGCCACUCCACCUGCAUCACUCUUUGAGAUAACCCUUGGCAAAGGCAAUGACAAGGACUUCUACGAUGUGAGCAUCGUAGAUGGUUACAAUUUACCUCUAGUUGCCUCCCCUCGUGGAGUCCAUGGUGCAUGCAAUGCAACUGGCUGCGCUUCGGAUAUCAACAUGGGUUGCCCAAGGGAACUCCAG
rnacentral:misc_RNA from 1 species